rnacentral:sRNA from 1 species
UGCCUGGACAUGUGGCUCCCUGUCUAAU